rnacentral:rRNA from 1 species
CAUCGCCGCGGGAAUACGGAGGGUGCAAGCGUUAAUCGGAAUUACUGGGCGUAAAGCGCACGCAGGCGGUCUGGCAAGUCAGAUGUGAAAUCCCCGGGCUUAACCUGGGAACUGCAUUUGAAACUGUCAGGCUGGAGUCUUGUAGAGGGGGGUGGAAUUCCAGGUGUAGCGGUGAAAUGCGUAGAGAUCUGGAGGAAUACCGGUGGCGAAGGCGGCCCCCUGGACAAAGACUGACGCUCAGGUGCGAAAGCGUGGGGAGCAAACAGGAUUAGAUACCCCGGUAGUCCCUGUCUCUUAUACC